rnacentral:rRNA from 1 species
AUUGAACGCUGGCGGCAGGCCUAACACAUGCAAGUCGAGCGGAUGAAGGGAGCUUGCUCCUGGAUUCAGCGGCGGACGGGUGAGUAAUGCCUAGGAAUCUGCCUGGUAGUGGGGUAUAACGUCCUGAAACGGGCGCUAAUACCGCAUACGUCCUGAGGGAGAAAGUGGGGGAUCUUCGGACCUCACGCUAUCAGAUGAGCCUAGGUCGGAUUAGCUAGUUGGUUGGGUAAAGGCCUACCAAGGCGACGAUCCGUAACUGGUCUGAGAGGAUGAUCAGUCACACUGGAACUGAGACACGGUCCAGAAUACUACGGGAGGCAGCAGUGGGGAAUAUUGGACAAUGGGCGAAAGCAUGAUACAGCCAUGCCGCGUGUGUGAAGAAGGUCUUCGGAUUGUAAAGCACUUUAAGUUGGGAGGAAGGGCAGUAAGUUAAUACCUAGCUGUUUUGACGUUACCAACAGAAUAAGCACCGGCUAACUUCGUG